rnacentral:lncRNA from 1 species
GAAAAAACCGUUCCUCUCUGUGUUCUUGGAAUCGAUUUCAGAAGGAAACUCUCUCGAACCCUUUCUUGGAUAAUGGCCUUCCAACUGGGAUGUCAGAUCUGCCCUAGCCUUCGCACUUGCUGCCGAAGGGACUGGUACCGAAGACUGAGCACAAGACGCCCAAUCGUCGGCGCGCGUCCGUAAGCAGUUCCGACUCAAGGGAGGAGUCCAUUGUCCUGCGUCUCCCGCAGCAGUGAACUCCGGUUCUUUGUGUUUUUCACGGCCCCAUGUGUGCCGGAACAGCACGGGGUUGUGCCUCGCUGGUAACGCCUCAGUGACAGAGCAACAAGCGCUUUCUUCAUGAGACCCGCACGCGACGUGCGAUGGUCUCCGCGGAGCCUUGGUGGCUUCUCUUCCCUGCAAGCAGCUUCUCAUGUGGACAGGAGUCGAAGCGCCUGGCGCUGUUUGUCGCGCCUUUCCAAUCUCGCCUUUUCCGGAGACAGCAGCUGCAGCCGUUGCCGCCUGGCGGUGGCUUUCGAGGAGUGCAUGCAGAUCAAGAGGACGUCUACCCUUUGCUGCUUCGGCCUUUGCUUGGACAGAUCUCUCCUCUCGCUCCGGCGCCUGACCACGCCAAGCAGAGCUAUCGGUUUUUUUUCUCGGCGAUGGCGAGAAACAAAGGCGACGGAGGGGCGUUUUGGGAGGAGAACAAAGGCUAUCUUCGCCAUCCCGAAGCGCACGCAGGCUGCAUGUGGUUGAGGGGAGUGACGCUUUCGUCCCUACCGGCUGCAAAAUGCCUGAACCCAGUUCAGGAGUCUGCACGGGAGAGAUAUUGCGCGUCGGCGGGGCGAACAGAAGGUGUGAAGAGCCGGACGGAACGGAUGAAGCGGAAGGCGACGAGGAGGCAGAUCGACUGCCGAGAGAGAGCCUGGCGCCGCGACGGUGCGUUUUCCGCUGACACAGCAACUCGUACAACUGUCUGGGACAGUGGAAGAAGCAAAGCAAUCACACAUGCCCCAACAAAAACAGAGCUGAGAGACAGAAACUCGUAUAUAAAUUUAAAUAAAUACAUAUAUAUAUAUAUAUAUGCACGCAGUCGUAUGGGCUAUUUCUGUCUGUGAGGCGACACAUGGGCACCAAACGUCAUCCAAACCCCUUUUAUUCUCUGUUGCUCCUCUCAAGCAAACUAAUCGUGUCCGAGCGCUACGCGUCGUCGAGGAGGAAAGCCCGAGACGCCUAUGUGGUCCGCGGUUACAUUCAUGCAAGUGUGCCGAACGCCGGCGCAAGCUGUAAAAACUCGAGGAAAGGCAGGAAAAGAAGAUACAUAGAAGUGCAGUUACUUUCAGAAAAGUAACGGGAACCCGUUGCCAAUAACUGCCUCGCGUUCCUCGGGACGUCCACAUGAGAAUUGCGUCUCGAAUGCCGCUUUCUUCUCUGGAUCUAUUUCUUGCGGUUAUAUGGGAAAAACUCAAGAUUUUCUCUCAAAGUGAAUUGGAGCCGUCAACGUGCGAGGGAAAGGUCGCAACCUGUCUCUGAGAA